rnacentral:lncRNA from 1 species
UGGAAGAGCUUGGUCUGGGUGAUGUUGAUGAUCUGGAAGAUGCAUCGGACUGGGACUCAGCCAGUACUGCCAGUAUGGGAGCCCUGUCUGGUCACAGGGUGGCGUCCCCUGUAGUUAAGAAAAUACCAGAGUGCUCCAGUUCAUCUGAUAAGGACCAGGAAAAAGAUGAUGUUACCACAGCAACACUGACGCAUCAGAAGAGCAUCAGCCCAGACAAGACACUGCCCAUCACACACUCUCAAUCUGUUCCCCAGCCCCAACCUCGUACACGGAAGACGGUCCCUCAGAAACUAGAGAGUGAAGAAGAAUCUGAUUGGGAAACCGAAAACAUAACAUCUUGCAAAACAGCUCAAAAUGACAAUCCGCUACAAAAUAUGGCUGAGCCUCAAGCAACAGUUAAACCAAGGUCCGCUGACCCCUCACUGAUGGAGAAAGACAGUGAAAUCAUCACAGAAUUUGAAGAGCAGCAACAAAAGGAGAAAGAUGAUGCAGUAGAUAGAAGUGAGUUAGAUCUAAAUAAAUCUGACAAUGGAAAAAAGGAUAACGAGUUUAGAGAUCUUUGCAGUCCUGGAGAAAGCGGUGGCGUGCCAUGGGAAAAACGUUAUGAGAAGCUCUGGGUAGAGGUGGAGAAAAGAGAGGUAAAGUCCACCUUCAAGAGUGUCGCUGGUGAAUUAAAAGAAAAAUUUGGAGAACUGUUUAAAUCAAGACAUGACAUCACAGAAGAACAGGUCACAGCUGGAUCCGCCUCUGCAGAAGAAGAUUCAAGUGAUGAAGAAGAUGGGGAAGUCAUUGAGCGUCCUACUGCGAGAGCAAAAAGCACUGCCCUUCUCACCAUACCUGAGCAGAGAGAGUCUGGACCAGAGGACUCUGCAGCUGAAUCGAAUGCAAACUCCUUAUGCGAGGACAGGAUGCAGGAGCAACCAGCUUGUGAUGGCACCGUCACAAGCCGUGCUGAUCUAAGUCAAACCGAGGAGAAUACUGCAAGUUCAGAAGACGAUCCCAACGAGUUUGCUAUAUGUCAGCCUCCCUUCAGAAGUUCAGCACCUGUUCCCGGUGUUUCUGAUGAAGAGUUGGAAGAGGACAUGGAAAGUUUUAAACUUGAGAUUGGAAAAGGGAGAACAGAAAUCGAGGUUGAGGUACAAAAAUCAAGUACUUCCCAGGUUACUAGUGGAAUAGCAUUGGAGGAAACUGGUAUGGGGAAACCUGAGACCAGCUUAGGAUGCCUGUCAAAUCAAGCUGAAGCACUUGACCAGGAGCAGCAGCCCGAGGCCGCCAUGAGUUUGGCAGCAAGUGGACCAAAGAAGGAUAAGG